UGCAACCUGAGCUCAGUCGUGAUUACCCGCUGAACUUAAGCAUAUCACUUAGCGGAGGAAAAGAAACUAAAAUG
rnacentral:rRNA from 1 species